UCCCUCUCAUUUUCAUUCUCUCUAUAUUUAGCUUUUCUAUAUUUGUUCUAUCUUUCAAUUCUUUCCUUUUGGGGGGCUUUCCCUUCUCUCUUUUCUCUUUUUCCCAUCCUCUCUUCUAAUUGAGGCGAAGGCUGUGGCAGGCCCUUAGACGUUGUAAAGUGGAGUGCUUACGAACUUUGUGACCAGACCCAUAGCCAUUGGUAACGACCUCCUCCUGGCCCAGAAACCGCGACCCGCGUGGAAGCGGCGGCCACCAGGUGGCGCUGUGGGCCAGGCCGUCCCGACCCAGCCUGGAGGACCUCGUACCCAGAGCUCCGGGAGGCUCCCCCUGCAAGCCUGGAGCUUGGGGUUGGCAGGCAGGGGAGGCUGAAAGCCAGGCCUGAAGCUGCCUCCCUCCUGGCACUGGGAGCAUCCCUGGAGGGUCGGAGGGGGCAGGGGUGGUCAGGAGAGGGAUGCAGGGCCCGAGUUAGCAUCUCCUGACUUGCUGUGUGACCUUGGGGAGGUUCCUUGCCCUCCCUGCACCUCACUUUCCCCAUUUACGCUGAGGGCACGCAACGGAAUUCCUCCAAAGGGGCUUCUCGCCCUCUGGCCAGUCUGGCCCUCUCCCUGAUGUCCUGCAGGGACCAGCAGCAGUGUUCAGAGUCACAUGCACUGGGCGCUCAGGGGCUCCCGGGCUCUUUGCUGGGUGUCUUGAAGGCAUCACCUCAUGCAAUCCUCUCGCCAACCCCUCAGGGUAGGUUCUAAAGGCGCCUCCUUACAGAGGAGGGAAUGGGCUCAGAUAGUUGAAGUGACUUACCCGGGGUCAUACAGCUGGCAGUUGAGCAGCUCAGAAAUACCAGCCCCAGAUGCAGUUCCAGGAUCACGGGGACCCUCUGCCCUGAAGCCCCACCGGAGAAUCUGGCUUUGGUCCCAGAACCUGGAAAAAAUGGGAGCAGGAGAGGAGAGAGGUGGAGGAAGUCCAGAGAAAGCACCACAGGCUCCAGUGUGAAAACAGAAAGGUGCUUUUCUGCCUUCUUGCCACAGGGGCUGCCCCAGGACCUUUGUAUGUGCUGUUCCCAGAACCCUCUUCCCCCAGACAGCUUCCUGCUUUGCUCCUCCAUUUUACUUGGGUCUGCUCAGUGUCCCCACAUCACCCAUCUUUUCCUGUUACCCUCUCUCUCCCUUACUCUAUUUUACUUUUCUUUAAACAUUUUUAAAUUAAAAAAAAAAAAAACAAAAAAAACCUUUUUCCUUUCCAUAAGCUUCCAGGAAUGAUUUUCCUUUUCUUCAUCGCAUUUCCUGCCGCCCGGCAGGUGUCUCUCUGCCUCUUGCCCAUGGUCUCUACCCCGUGCUGCCAUGGGCUCCGCCAGGGCAGGGGUUUGUGUCCUUCUCGUUGACUAGUGACCACUCCCAUUGUCAGAAUACAGUGAGGAGGGCCCUCUCAUGACAGGGCAGCCUCCUGGAUCCCUGAGUCCCCAGUCUUCCCUGCAGACAUGGAGACUACAGGCGCUGGAAGGGGACUGGUGACCUCAAUGCUGAGAGCUGCCUGGUUCCAGGCUGCACUCACUGCGUGUCUGGAACAGCAUGCCUGUUGCCAAGGGGUGGGAGAGGCAAACCCCUGAGGCCUGAUGGCACCAGAUGUGUAGGAAAGAAGGUGCCCGCUGCGCAGGGAAAGCAACCACAGCAACAGCUGUGCUGGGAGCACCUGCCGUGUGCCAAGGGCGCCUGCCAUGUGCUGGGAGCACCUGAUGUGUACCCUGAACACCUGCUUGUGCGGUGAGCACCUGCUGUGUACGGGAGCACCCACUGUGUGCCCUGAGCACCUGCUGUGUACAGUGAGCACCUGCUGUAUGCCCUGAACACCUACUGUGUAUGGGAGAACCUGCUUUGUGUAGGGACACCUGCUGUGUACAAUGAGCAUCUGCUGUGUGCCCUGAGCACCUGCUGUAUACAGUGAGCACCUGCUGUGUAUGGGCACACUGCUAUGUGUGGUGACACCUGCUGUGUGCCAUAAGCACCUGCUGUCUGCCUGGCGCCACACUGGGUGUGUUAGUGUGUUGCUUAAUCAGCAUUUGUUGAGGAUUUCACUCUUUGUAGAAUUUAGUGAUCAGAACCUCAUCACGUCUUGAAAUUCCUGAUAUUGGUGUAGGUGAUCCAUCAAUACCUGUUGCCUUCAGUGGGAAGAAUCAAUGAACAAGUGAGUGGCCGUGGCAGGCAGGAUGGCUCAGCCCCACUGGAGAGGAUUCCAGCGAUUCGUCUUUACCCAUCACCAUGGCAAUGUCGAGAGAAAGACACAGCUGUUUGUGCCAUUUUACAGAUGAGGAAACAGAGGCUGAGUUAAGUGACUGAUAGGGUUUUGCUGUGUCCCUGCCCAAAAGGGAGACCAGGUGGAGGUAAUGGAAUCACGGGGGCGGUUCCCCCAUGCUGUUCUCGUGAUAGUGAGGGAGUUCUCACGAGAUCUGACGGUUUUGUAAGCGUUGGGUAGUUUCUCCUGCGUUCAUUCUCUUUCCUGUCGCCCUGUGAAGAAGGCACCUUGCUUCCCCUUCGCUUUCUGCCAUGAUUGUAAGUUUCCUGAGGCCUCCCCAGCCAUGCAGAACUGUGAGUCAACUAAACUUCUUUCCUUCAUACAUUUUUCGUAGACGACCCAGUGUUGGGCGGUUGUUUAUAGUGGUGUGAAAAUGCAGGAACACAGUGACUUGCUUGAAACCAUGGAGCCUUGGGGCUGGUAGCCUUGAGGUUUGAACCCAGCGCAUCUGACUGCAGCGCCUCAGUCGUCUGAACGCCACCAUGGCCUGCUGGGUGAGCCUUGGGUGCUGAGCGGACAGCCACGUGGAGGUUCUGGCCUUUCAAUCCUCCCCUACACCUGCCUCCUUCCCCGGCUGCCUGCCAGCCUCCAGGGCCGCUGUUCUGCCCCUCCACUCUCUAGGCUUGUGCCUUGCUCCUGUCUCAGGAUUUCUGCACUGGCACCUGCCAUUUCCUUCACCUGGAACCCUCUUCCUGCCUGGCUCCUUCCUGUCAUUUCGUUCAGGUCGUGGUUGGAACUCUGCCUCCUCCUGAUAGGGUGAAAAUGGCGUCGCUGUUGACUCGCUAACACAGAGUGCUCUUUCCUUCGCCGUGGUGCAGAUCCCAGUCUGUAUUUGGUUUACUUUUGUUUGUUAACUCAGGUGGGGCUGCUUUACUCCAGUCAGGAUGCAGGUUUCAUGAGGGCAAGGGCUGGGCCUGCCUGUUCACAGCUGUGUCCCCAAAUCCCAAAUCCUAGCACAGCAGCUGAAACACAGGAGGUGCUCAGUCAAUCCUCGCUGACUUUAGCAAACGGAAUCAGCAAAUGCCGGGCUGAGGCAGGAGAAUCCUGACCGCGAAGCAGCUCGGCCAGUGUGAGGUGUUCACGUUGAUGGACUCUUCAGGUGCUGGAAGGCCCGAAAUCCUGUCUCUCUGCUUUCCCUGGGUGGCACAGACCUGGCCCUGACCCAGCCCCUCUGGAAGCCUUUCUGCUCUAUUUGUUUCUAUCACUGGUGACCAGAAGCUGAGCUGCCACCUUCCUUGGGGCCUCAGACUCCUUACAGGAAGUCAGGGUGGAGCUGAAUUGUUCCUGAGAGAAUGUUCUUCCAUCGGGCUGGGUCUGAGUCACUGGAGGCUGGGUCUGACCGGGAAGGAGGGUGCAGCCACUGGGGGCUGAGGACACCCACCCUGUCCAGAACAUGUCCCCACCCAGUAUCCUGCCAGCAAGAGGUUUGCAGAAACCCAAACUCAAUUCUAGGUCAGCAGGCCAUGUGGGUCCACUGGCAGCACUUAACACAUAUUUAUGGAGGGCCUACUAUGUGCCAGGUCCUGUUCUAGGUGCAGAGUCACAUGUCGGAAGUCCUUGUGGAGCUUUAGAUCUGCUGGAAGGAGGCAGGCAAGGAAGCCAGUAAACAUAUGGGUGAGUAAUAUGUCAGAUGGUGUCAGGGCCAACCAGGAAAAUCCACAGGUGAGAGGACGGAACAGGUGUAAGAGCUAUUUUAAUCAAUGGUCACAGACGGCCUUUCUGAGACAGACCCUUGACUGGACCUAAGGAGGAGAGGUCCAUGGAGCUGCCUGGUUCCAGGUAGAAGGCACGGCAGGUGCAAAGACCUCAGGGUGGGAUCUUGCCUGGUGGGCUGGUGGAGGAGUGAGGGGGGCAGGGAUAUUGGAGGGGCAAAUCACUUCCCCUUCUCCUUGGCCUCAGUGCUCCUGUCUGUACAUGGGGAUCAUAAUCCACACCUCACGGGGAGUGAGGGAGUUUCCAAUGAUAAGACGGUUAGUCUGGCGCUUUGUAAAUUUCAAAGGUUUUGCUUAUCAAGUAGAAAGGAUUAUGGUAAUGAGCAAAAAACGGCUCUACCCGUCACAGGUGGGAUGCUUUUGUCUUCAAGCAGCAGAGGAUUCCACAAUAAGUAUCCUAUUGUCCUACAUCUUAGGACGGUAUCUUAUGUCUCCAUGAGUCAAGAAAUCCAGUGGAAUUCCAGGUACUUCUGGUUUGGCUGGUGCAGAGAAGGACCCAGAUUCUUUGAAACUUCCCGCUGUGCUCUCCACGUGACUUGACCCUCAGGCUUGCACUCCUAAGCUCUAGGAUUGCUCCACAGCUCCAGGUGUCCCGCCCUCAUGUAAGGGGUGAAAGCCAAAGAAAGAACGUGUCUCCUCCUGCUGCUGCUUUAUGAGAGCCUGAAACCCUUUCCCAGAAGCCCCCAGCAGAUUUGAUCGCCUGUUACUUUGACCAAAAUUGCAUCCCAAGUGCAUUGGUAGGCCUGGUGCUGGCAGAGGAAGUGGAAUUAUUAUGGCUUGGCCAAUGGGUUUUCGCCAGAGAGGCACAAGCCCUGGGGAUGUUUGGAAAUGGGUGGUGGUGGUGGGGGGGUGGCUUGGCUCAAUGACUGGUGACAUUGCUGGCAUUCAGCUGGGUGGGGCUGGGAAUGCUGGAUGCUUCCAAGGUGCUGGACAGUCCACAUAAGACAGACUGUCCUGUUUCCCACACAAAUUUCAGUCCCCUCUGGCCGCUCUUGUGUGAAGCUAUUUAAUCAUCUUAGCCUAGAGCCUACAUCAACUUAAUAUCAAAACAAGAUAUGUUUGUAAGAUUUUAGUGUACACUGAAUAUAAUAUUUAUAUUCAAGUGUCUUCUUUAUUUUUCUGCCCUUCUGUUGUAGCGUGACUCCUGAUCUUCUAUCCAAACUUCUUCUGCAGAUGCUGGCUAGGAUCUAAGUGUUUGUUAUGUCUCUGUGUGUGCCUGUGUCUGUGUCUGUUCAUUUGCAUAUUGAAAUAUGAUUUAAUUUAUUACAAAUUAUUUUAUUAAAAAUUAUUGUCCUUUUAUUUCUUUUUAUUGUCCUCUUAGGGCAUUGUAAUGAGUUUUUAAGUAGGUGUAUGAUGUUAUAGGUUAAUUAUUUAUGACUUUCAUUUCAGGGCAGUAAAGAGAUCAUUAAGCACAGUUCUUCUUUGGAAGAGGUCAUGAGUCUGACAAAGUUGAGAAUUCCUGGCUUGGAUCCAUCAAGAGUCAUGUCCGGGGGCUCGGGGAGAGCCUGUGUCCUGAAACUCAUGGCUCCCAGGCGACUGGACCACAUGGAGGUUGAGUCAGGAUGGAAGGUGAGGAGCGACUGCCAGGUUGGCACAAAUUAUGUUGACCGUCUUACUCAUGCUCAGCCCUCAACCCGUCAUCUAUGCUGCCACCGAGUCACAGAGGAUGCCUGGGAAGGAGCUGCCUCCAUGGAGAGGAUGAGGGCACCAAGAGGGUCACUGAGGCAAGGCUGGGUUUUCAUUCAGCCCUGAGAUCUGACAGCGGUAACUCACCUCACUCAUGGCAGGCUAUCUGUUGGUCGCUAGAAUGGCAUCAGUUUAUGAGUGAGAGAGGAAUUGCUGGUCAGAAAGUAAGUAGGAUCAGUUUAUCUCUUUGAGUGCAACCCAAAGAAGGAAGGUGAGGUGUGACCGGUGCCCAGGUGAAAUGGGUAGUUCUGGAAAGGCCCUCUGGAGGCAAUCCUCACACUCAUUCAUUCAGCCAACAUUUACGGAGCACUUGUUAGGUACAAGGGAUCAUAUUGCCAGACGUGGAGACUUGGGGGCAUCAGACCCAGCCUGGCCUGUAGGGGCUUCCCACUGAGCCCGAGAAGGAGCUCCUUGGGAGAUAGACAGGAGUUCCGUUUAAAUGAGGUUUAAUUGGGGGUAAAGACUGAAUUUUGGAAGUUAUCUUGUUAUAAAUUAAAAAAUAGAAUUUCAGAUGCUUGGUCCAUAUCCUUAAAAUGUUGUUUAUUCAUUCAUCCAAAAAGUAUCUAUUAUAAACCUACUAAGUACCUGCCCUGAUAGCGGGCAUUGAAAACUACAUUUUUUUUUUUUAAAGGAAAAGGAACCAAUUAGAAGCAGCCUCUCUCUCAUGUCUCCUUACAAGGUCAUUAGAAGUCUUCCUUGAAAGGAGCUACCUAGACUCCAUUUUUGCUGCUACUAAUCUAGGGCCAGAUGUCAGCCUAUUCCAGGAGGACGAGCACAAAGUCCCCCGAGAGGAAAUUGCAUAUACACCAAAACAUUGGAAAGAUUUUGCCAAUUUACAUUGGCAGAAGCAUGCAGAAUAUGUGUAUGAAUAGACGAUAAGAGUGUUAGACUAAAGAGGUCAGCAUGUAACACUGCGUCAUGGUAAAGGUAUUGAUAUGGGUGCCCUUACUAGGAAUUCUGAAUUUCACGGUAAGUUCGUGAGGCCGGAAGUGGCUCUGUUUACUUGGUGGGAAACUACACUUGGUCUCAGUGGCGGCCCUCAUUGAAUAAGAGUAGGAUAAGAGAAUGUUCAUUGCACAGUGUAAGGGAAAAUAUCCAAAGGCUUAGGGAGCUGGGGAUGUUGGAGUGGCUUUACCAUGAAUGACACGCGCCAUCCCUCCUCCAGCCCAUUACAUGCCCUCAAAGGGGCGGACAGACACUCUGGUCACUUAGGCAUUGAGAAAUAUGCUAAGGAGGGACCACCUGCCUCCUUACAAAUCUCCAUGGUGGCUGCUCUGAAUGGGCCAGGCAGGGUGGUGGGGAUGCCGGGGGAGACGCCAGAUGGAAGAUCUCAGUGAGGACGAGGACAUGUGACAGCAUUUAUCCCCUAAAGACAAGAUGGGCAUAUUUACCAUGUUUUUCAGAAGAAAAGAAGUGGUAAUUAGAAUGUUUUGACUCUCAGGGAAUCUUUAGCAAUGGC